UCCGGUUUGUCACCGGCAGUCUCAUUAGAGUGCCCUUUCGUAGCAACUAAUGACAAGGGUUGCGCUCGUUGCGGGACUUAACCCAACAUCUCACGACACGAGCUGACGACAGCCAUGCAGCACCUGUGCGCCGGUUCUCUUUCGAGCACCCCUAGAUCUCUCCAGGGUUCCGACCAUGUCAAGGGUAGGUAAGGUUUUUCGCGUUGCAUCGAAUUAAUCCACAUCAUCCACCGCUUGUGCGGGCCCCCGCCAAUUCCUUUGAGUUUCAACCUUGCGGCCGUAGUCCCCAGGCGGUUCACUUAAUGCGUUAGCUGCGGCACCGAGGGUAACCCCCGACACCUAGUGAACAUAGUUUAGGGCCAAGACUAC
rnacentral:misc_RNA from 1 species